GAUGAACGCUAGCUACAGGCUUAACACAUGCAAGUCGCGGGGCAGCAUGGGGGUUGCUUGCAAUCCCCGAUGGCGACCGGCGCACGGGUGAGUAACGCGUAUCCAACCUGCCCUUCACCACGGGAUAACCCGGCGAAAGUCGGACUAAUACCGUAUGUUGUCCAUUGACGGCAUCCGAUUUGGACGAAAGGUUUGGCGGUGAAGGAUGGGGAUGCGUCCGAUUGGCUGGACGGCGGGGUGACGGCACACCGUGGCGACGAUCGGGAGGGGAGCGGAGAGGCAGGUCCCCCACACUGGAACUGCGACACAGUCCAGACUCCUACGGGAGGCAGCGGUGAGGAAUAUUGGGGAAUGGGCGUAAGCCUGAACCAGCCAAGCAGCGUGCAGGAGGACGGCCCUAUGGGUUGUAAACUGCUUUUAUGCGGGGAUAAAGUGGGCCACGUGUGGGUUUUUGCAGGUACCGCAUGAAUAAGGACCGGCUAAUUCCGUG
rnacentral:rRNA from 1 species